AUUGAACGCUGGCGGCAGGCCUAACACAUGCAAGUCGAGCGGAUGAAGGGAGCUUGCUCCUGGAUUCAGCGGCGGACGGGUGAGUAAUGCCUAGGAAUCUGCCUGGUAGUGGGGGAUAACGUCCGGUAACGGGCGCUAAUACCGCUUACGUCCUGAGGGAGAAAGUGGGGGAUCUUCGGACCUCACGCUAUCAGAUGAGCCUAGGUCGGAUUAGCUAGUUGGUGGGGUAAAGGCCUACCAAGGCGACGAUCCGUAACUGGUCUGAGAGGAUGAUCAGUCACACUGGAACUGAGACACGGUCCAGACUCCUACGGGAGGCAGCAGUGGGGAAUAUUGGACAAUGGGCGAAAGCCUGAUCCAGCCAUGCCGCGUGUGUGAAGAAGGUCUUCGGAUUGUAAAGCACUUUAAGUUGGGAGGAAGGGCAGUAAGUUAAUACCUUGAUGUUUUGACGUUACCAACAGAAUAAGCACCGGCUAACUUCGUG
rnacentral:rRNA from 1 species